rnacentral:lncRNA from 1 species
GUCCCCUCCCCGUGUGUGUGUGUGUGUGCGUGCGCGUAUGUGUGAGAGAGUGUGAGUGUGUGUGUGUGUGUGUGUGUGUGUGUGUGUAAAGAGGGCUCUUGUAGGGUGGGGCCGCCCCGAGCAGGAGCAGGCUGAUGAGGGGUCAGAUACCCAGUGGGCAGGUCAUGUUCAAGGUCAAGGCUGGCUGGGUGGGAUGGGGUGUGUGGGUGCUGCCCCUUCUGCCCACGGUUUAUCCCGAUAGCCCUGCAGGGAUGGGCUACUGCAUCCCGGGUGCAGGGCUGUGCACGCACAGGUCUGUGUCUGAUCUGGGAGCAGCAGGGGGACUGGGCAGGAGGACAGUGAGGAUGGCCGGGCAGGGCUGUGAUGCCUCCAGCCGGCUACCCGUCCCUGUCUUUGCAGAAGUCAAUGGAUGACAUGGAGAGGUGGCUGGUGGACACACCCUCCAUCUCCUGGACAGAGGGGUUGACCCCACAGGGGUCCCUAGGAGCAGGUGCUGGGGAUUGCCAAAGAAGGCCUCCGACACCACCCAGACCACUGUCCCAGGUGGUUGUCCACCGGACAGUGGUCCAGGAGCUGGAGCCCACAGAGGCCGAGCCCGAGGCUGCUCCACCACCUGAGGAGCUAGAGCCGGCUCCAACUCCAUCAACAGCUCUGGAGGGAAGAGGGAGUGACUGCAGCGACUUCAGGAGGAGACCAGGAGCCGGCAGGUGACCCGGCACCCGCCCACGGAGAGCCUGACGCAAACCAGGAAGAACAGGCACCUGCUCCUGCCCCAGCCCCUGCCCCUGCUACAGUUCCUGCCGCUCCCCUGCCCCUGUCCCUGGCCCUGCUCUCACACCCGGCCCUGCCCCUAUCCUAACCCCUGCCCCUACUCCUGCUCCUGCAGGGAUCCCACAGCCACACCCAGAGCCCACAGCCCUGCAGGGAGAGCUCCCUGUACAAUUACCCUUAGUUCCAUCACCGGACCCCGACGCCCCGCCAGAUUGUUUCGUCCCCUCCCCCUAUGUUCUUACUCUCUGGUUCAUAUUAACUGUUAUUUUAUCUUUUCAUGUUCUGUAUACUGU